UCUCUCUGAUACAGGCAGGGAUUGAGGGACGAGAUGUGAUGACAGGAUCAGAAAGAUGUGACUUCAGAGGAUUCCACCUGCUGUUGCUGACUUUGAAGAUGGAGGAAGGGGAUCUGAGCUCCAGCGGACAUAUCCAAAGCAGGACAUUGUUUGCACAGCUGCCUCUGUUCACUUCAAGAGUGGAUUCUCCUCUGUCUCUGCUGCUUUGUGUCGCCAGUUCCUAAUUCCAGGUCCCAGAUAACUGUAUCUGAUUAGCCACUGGUGAAACUGCAGCCACCCACCCUCUUCUCCUGGU